UGGGGAAUAUUGCACAAUGGGCGCAAGCCUGAUGCAGCCAUGCCGCGUGUAUGAAGAAGGCCUUCGGGUUGUAAAGUACUUUCAGCGGGCAGGAAGGGAGUAAAGUUAAUACCUUUGCUCAUUGACGUUACCCGCAGAAGAAGCACCGGCUAACUCCGUGCCAGCAGCCGCGGUAAUACGGAGGGUGCAAGCGUUAAUCGGAAUUACUGGGCGUAAAGCGCACGCAUGCGGUUUGUUAAGUCAGAUGUGAAAUCCCCGGGCUCAACCUGGGAACUGCAUCUGAUACUGGCAAGCUUGAGUCUCGUAGAGGGGGGUAGAAUUCCAGGUGUAGCGGUGAAAUGCGUAGAGAUCUGGAGGAAUACCGGUGGCGAAGGCGGCCCCCUGGACGAAGACUGACGCUCAGGUGCGAAAGCGUGGGGAGCAAACAGG
rnacentral:rRNA from 1 species